CAGGCCUAACACAUGCAAGUCGAGCGGUAACACAGAGAGCUUGCUCUCGGGUGACGAGCGGCGGACGGGUGAGUAAUGUCUGGGAAACUGCCUGAUGGAGGGGGAUAACUACUGGAAACGGUAGCUAAUACCGCAUAAUGUCGCAAGACCAAAGAGGGGGACCUUCGGGCCUCUUGCCAUCAGAUGUGCCCAGAUGGGAUUAGCUAGUAGGUGGGGUAACGGCUCACCUAGGCGACGAUCGCUAGCUGGUCUGAGAGGAUGACCAGCCACACUGGAACUGAGACACGGUCCAGACUCCUACGGGAGGCAGCAGUGGGGAAUAUUGCACAAUGGGCGCAAGCCUGAUGCAGCCAUGCCGCGUGUAUGAAGAAGGCCUUCGGGUUGUAAAGUACUUUCAGCG
rnacentral:rRNA from 1 species